GAUGAACGCUAGCGGCAGGCCUAACACAUGCAAGUCGAGGGAGAAGCCCUUUCGGGGGCAGAAACCGGCGCACGGGUGCGUAACGCGUAUGCAACCUACCUUUCACAGGGGGAUAGCCCGAAGAAAUUUGGAUUAAUACCCCAUAAUAUUAUUGGAUGGCAUCAUUUGAUAAUUAAAACUGCGGUGGUGGAAGAUGGGCAUGCGUCCUAUUAGCUAGUUGGAGUGGUAACGGCACCCCAAGGCUACGAUAGGUAGGGGUCCUGAGAGGGAGAUCCCCCACACUGGUACUGAGACAGGGACCAGACUCCUACGGGAGGCAGCAGUGAGGAAUAUUGGUCAAUGGUCGGAAGACUGAACCAGCCAUGCCGCGUGCAGGAAGAAUGCCUUAUGGGUUGUAAACUGCUUUUAUAUGGGAAGAAUAAGGCGUACGUGUACGUUGAUGACGGUACCAUAUGAAUAAGCAUCGGCUAACUCCGUG
rnacentral:rRNA from 1 species